CUCACGCGAGGGCAGCAGUCGGGGAAAUCGUUGACGCAAUGGGCGGAAGCCUGACGCAGCAACGGCCGCGUGACGGGAGUGAAAUGCCUUCGGGUUGUAAACCGUCUUUCGAGCGGGGAAGAUUGUGACGGUACUGCAGAAGAAGCUCCGGCCAACUACGUGCCAGCCGCCGCGGUAAUAC
rnacentral:rRNA from 1 species